rnacentral:rRNA from 1 species
AACGAACGCUGGCGGCAGGCUUAACACAUGCAAGUCGAGCGCCCCGCAAGGGGAGCGGCAGACGGGUGAGUAACACGUGGGAAUCUACCUUUUGCUACGGAAUAACUCAGGGAAACUUGUGCUAAUACCGUAUGUGCCCUUCGGGGGAAAGAUUUAUCGGCAAAGGAUGAGCCCGCGUUGAACUAGCUAGUUGGUGGGGUAAAGGCCUACCAAGGCGACGACCCAUAGCUGGUCUGAGAGGAUGAUCAGCCACACUGGGACUGAGACACGGCCCAG